GUUGGGCACAGCACCAUCUCAGAUAUGAAAAUUCAAGGUGACCUACAUGGAUUAAUUCAGAGACAACCAAAGUUUUCAGUAUGGGAUGCUAUUCCGGAUUUAAGAAACUAGGGAAGAAAUUCCCUUCACUGUUUGAUGUAGAAACGUGCGUGCCGUCAGCCUGACAAACCUACGAGUUUCCUGGUCGUGUGGUGUUCACGGAGCACUUGGGUAAAAGGAUGGAAAUAGCUCGACACAGAGCAUGGCCUUUCAGCAGCAGACACAGCUUUACACCACACGUUAUUACUUCUUGUAAAAGCCGCCAUUCCCCUUUCUCAUCUCUAGAUCAUCGGAUGACAGCUCUGGCAGAAACAAAUAGCAGGUGGGAUGACAUGUAUUUGUGGACGGGAGGUGAUAGGUUGCCUUUAACAUAUUGCCGUGUCUCCUUUUCCAGACUUGCCUUCCUUUUUUUAGGCUCAACGCCUCUUUUUAACAUAAUGAUUAGAUUCAAGACCUGCAAUUCAGUCAAAAUGCAGUCAUGGGUCAAUGUGCUCCUAUUAUCACAGCUGGGGCUGCAAUCCUGGUUGGCCUCUUCAAGAACAGCGAGUGUAUUCAUCCUGACCGUGCCAUCCUGGGCAAUGUCAAACACUCCUCACAUUCUUUCUCAAGAAGCUGCUCUGUUAGGCUUCUUUGUUUCUUAUUAUUUCAGGGUCCAUGAGGCAUGUGUCAAACGUCUACUUUUCAAUUUUCCAUGCUUGCCUUAGAGGUCAGUUCCAACUGGAUGCGAUCCCAACAGCUGAAAAUGGAAUCUGGAGAUGGCAGAACCAGGGGCACGGAGAAUGGGAGUUUGAAGGGCAACACAGUUGUCCAGUUUUCACCUCUCCGUAGGCAAAAGUAGAUCAUAUUUCUCAUGCAGUUCUGCCUUAAACAACAAAGAAGUCAUUUCUUUAUCAUGUUUGUGUCUCUUAAGAGUGAUUUGUUGGAGAUUUGGGCCAUGAUAAACUUGGUCAGCUUUUGGAAAAAUAUGCUUUACUGAUUAAUAGGCAAGGAGAAAGAGAAGUAGGUUCAUUGUUUCAACAUGAAUAACAAGGAAUUGCUAGUGAAUAAGAUGAUGGUACAUCCGUGUAAUCCUCUGAACUUGGGACGUGAAGACAGAUGUAACAGGAGCUCAGGGCUGUUUUUAGAUACAUAGACAUUUCAAGGCCAGAUUGGGUUAUGUGAAAGCCUGUCUUAGAUAAACACACAAACUAAAAACAAAGAUAAAAUUAAGAAGGAAUUUAAAAUACUCUGGAAAAACAUUCUGUGGCCUCUAAAUGGGCUUGGAAGCCUUAGGGUUGUAGCUGUCUUUAGCUCAAGAUGAUGCUUUAUUAGCACUAAGUCCUCUAUUGACAAUAAUCAUCCUGAAAUAAUAAUAAUGAUAAUGAAACUAAUAGUAGAGAAAUUUGAGACUAUGAUCAAUAAAUAGGGUUCAAAUCUAAGGUAUCCAGCAACAUUUUUAAUGACUUUUCUUUGCUCAUGAAAACCAACUAAACUAACACAGUGACUAUAACAAAACACUUUAUAUAUUUUAAUACACUUUUAGUAAGUCUUUGAGAAUUUUAUACAAUAUAUUUUGAUCAUAUUAACCCCACUCCCUACCAUUCAUUGUAUCUUCCCAAAUAGACUUUCUACUCCCCACCUCUCCCACAUAACUUUGCUUGUUUGCUUGUACUCCAUCCUGUCUAAUUUGUGCUACCUAUAUUCUCAUUGCUAUGAAGUCAUCUAUUGGAGCACAGAAGGUGAGACGCUUAAAGAAAUCUGACCCAUACCCCUCCAAGCCAUCAACUAUCACUAAAUAUCUCCUUAGCUAGAGAUGGGGACUCAUGAGCCUCCUUCCCCACUAUUCUGGAGUGUUGUUUGGUUUGACCUUGUACAGGUCUUACACAGGCAAGCCCAGGUACCGUAGCCCAUCGUUUUAUACAUCUUAACAAAUGAGUAAAAUAUGGCUACCUUCCAUUUAAUAUUGAACAUCACCAGCAAAAUUUUAGGCUCUUUUACAGUUUCAGACAUAUGAUUGGAGUUGAUUUUGCUUUGAUGUAAGAUAUUAUAUGCAAUGUAGCAAAUUACUUGUUCUUAGAUAUUCAAGCUUUCAUUGGUAUGGUGGUUUCCUAGCUCUGAAUGGUGAUUUUUCCUAACAGUUUGAUGCCAUAUUGGUUUCAGAGAUAGAAUGACUUGGAUUCUUGACAUGAUUAACAUUGGUGUACCCAAGCAGCUAUUUUCCAACCUUUCCCUUUAGACUGAAUUGUAUUGCUUUAGGGUCUUUAAGAUGAUUUAGAUCAUUUUUUUUUACAGACACUGGAGUAGUGCUUUGCUUUGCAGCAUGAGAUUUUUGUACACUGGCCACAUUGCAAAUGUAUUUAGUCUUACUCAUCCUGAAUCAUUCUGGAUUGCCUUGGAUUGCCCUUCUAUCUGAUUUUAAAUUUUCUUUAAUUGGAGUGGCUCAUAUAAUUUAUGUA
rnacentral:sRNA from 1 species